rnacentral:rRNA from 1 species
CUUGAAUUAUUAGGAAGUAACUAGAAUAUGUAGUGUAGCGGUGAAAUGCUUAGAGAUUACAUGGAAUACCAAUUGCGAAGGCAGGUUACUACUAAUAUAUUGACGCUGAUGGACGAAAGCGUGGAUAGCGAACAGGAUUAGAUACCCUGGUAGUCCACGCCGUAAACGAUGGAUACUAGCUGUUGGGAGCAAUCUCAGUGGCUAAGCGAAAGUGAUAAGUAUCCCACCUGGGGAGUACGUUCGCAAGAAUGAAACUCAAAGGAAUUGACGGGGGCCCGCACAAGCGGUGGAGCAUGUGGUUUAAUUCGAUGAUACGCGAGGAACCUUACCAAGGCUUAAAUGUAGAUUGACCGGUUUGGAAACAGACUUUUCGCAAGACAAUUUACAAGGUGCUGCAUGGUCGUCGUCAGCUCGUGCCGUGAGGUGUCAGGUUAAGUCCUAUAACGAGCGCAACCCCUGUUGUUAGUUGCCAGCGAGUCAUGUCGGGAACUCUAACAAGACUGCCAGUGCAAACUGUGAGGAAGGUGGGGAUGACGUCAAAUCAUCACGGCCCUUACGCCUUGGGCUACACACGUGCUACAAUGGCCGGUACAGAGAGCAGCCACUGGGCGACCAGGAGCGAAUCUAUAAAACCGGUCACAGUUCGGAUCGGAGUCUGCAACUCGACUCCGUGAAGCU